rnacentral:lncRNA from 1 species
AUUCCCUUUCUCCUUCCUGCAGUUUAUCAUUAUGUAUCUCAUAGUAAAUGAUUAGAGUGGGAGAUGGUCUCACUUCUCUGAAGAGGUGAUCUCUGAGUUGAAGCUUGAGCCAUGCAAAGAUCUAGAGAGAGAAUAGUCACAUAAAAGAAAGUAGUGUUACAUACAAAUCUCCUAAAGAAAUUGUGGGUGUUAGUAACAGAGGGAAAGGUACAACAUACUGUUAUGGGGAAACUAAGAAUGGUAUCUUACAAAGUCUAAGAUUUAUUCAAACAGGAUCCAGGUCAUUUAGGGUCAUGUAGUCCAUGUUAAGAGUUUUGGAAUUUAUUUUCACAUCAAUGAGAUACCACUGGCUCAUUUUAAAUCAAUGGGUGAUAACAGAUGUUCUUAUAAUAAUACAGAAAUGAUGAGCUGAGUCCUUUUUGAUGACCUGCAUUUCUUCAUCGGGGAAAGAAGAAAGCAAAGGAAAUAGAAAAGUGGUUAGACAUGUUUUGAUGCUCUAGACUAAGGGUGUAGAGAUUUCUAGUAAAAAUUUAUUUUUUAAUAAUAGCAAAUGUUACAUAGGAUAACUGCUCUAAAAUAUGUUCAGUGAAAAUAUAUACUCAGAUUAAGGAAUAUGCAGAUGGUGAAGUUUUGACAAUGAAUUAAAAGACAAAAAAAAUCCAGCUUGAGGUGGAAGUAUUGUUAAGGAGAGGUUUGGAAAUAAAGAUAUAUAGAAGGUUAGUACAGUAGAUAAAAACUAAGCAAGCAGUAGAGAGAGGCUAAAAAUUAAAGUAACAUAUAAGAAAAUGGAAAAGGAGGGAGGUAUCUGGACAAGAUACCAAGUAAAGGUUGAAGAUUCAGCCUACCUGAGAAUGAGGAACCCUACAUACUGAUCUAGAUAGAUUUUGAGGAAGAGAAGGCAGAGGAAGAAACAGAAGUCUAUCAGAAAAGGAAUGAAGUCAACUAAUGUCUCAUUCAUUUAACAAAAAUGCAUACAUUGAGCAUCUAUUUUCUAGGCAUAAACUAGGUCCUUUGGAUAUAAUGAUAGGAUACAUUCUUUAUUGUCAGAACAUUUGCAUAUACUAAGAAAGGCAGAAAAUUAAAUAAAUAUUCAUUGUACUGGAAGGAUCUACAAGACAAUAUUGGUAUCAAUGGGUAGACUAACUCUUCAGAUUAAUUGGAAAGCUAAGCGGGGAUUUCAUAGAGUUUGUGGUGAUUUGUUGAUUUCCUGUAGAAUAAGUAUAUACUCCAUAGUAGAUACAAAGACAGGCAGAGGAAGGAAUUCCAGAUAGAAGUAAUACUUUCUGGCAAAAAUAAAAGAAUACCAGACUUUAGAAAAUGCAAGUUGCUUAGUAUGGAAGGCCUUAAAAAGGCCUUUGGAAGGUUAAUGUAAGAAAGCAUAGACUAGAUCAUGAAUUACCACAAGUAGUAUGCCUUGGCAUAUAUAAGUAUUAACAUAGACAAUAUUGAAUAAUAUGAUCAGCUUUUUGAUUUAGAAAUAUUCUUGUAAUUAAAGUAGAGUGAUGAUUUCCAGGGCUGAGUGAGAAGAGAUUGAGUCUGGAGGCAAAGAAAUACUAUAAUAUUACAGGGAUAUUUUAAAAUAGAAUAAUUAAAUAAGAGCAGUGGCAAGGGAAAGUGUUUUUGUAAUAUUUAAACAAAUUUUAAUAGGACUUGGGUUGACUGAGUGUGGGUGGAGCUGACCUAAAGAAAGUAUAUAGGAUGAAAACUCCCAGAUUUCUUGUAUAAUUAAUUGAGAGAUCAGUAACUCCAUUAUGCUACACUGGGGAUAUAAAAGAAGAAGCAAGUGUGCUUAUCCAGACAAAUGAUGGAACUGGGAUUCAGGAGAAGUAUUUGGAUAAGGGAAAGGGGAAGAAUAAUUAGAAAGAAGAGAGAAAAUGAGGUACUUUUCUUGAGUAACUAUUAUAUGCUAGGAGCUGCCCUAGUGCUUUUAGACACCCUUGUUCAUCAUAUAUGGCUGAUAUCACUUCUACAUUGAGGAGUCCAAAGUUCAGAGAAGUUUCUGCUCAAUUUGUCCUGGCUAUUAAGUACCAGAACCAGCAUUCAAUUACAUGUCUAACUCAUUAAUACCAUGCUCUCAUUUU